rnacentral:rRNA from 1 species
UACGGAGGGUGCAAACGUUGCUCGGAAUUACUGGGCGUAAAGCGCACGUAGGCGGACUAUUAAGUCAGGGGUGAAAUCCCGGGGCUCAACCCCGGAACUGCCUUUGAUACUGGUAGUCUCGAGUCCGGAAGAGGUGAGUGGAAUUCCGAGUGUAGAGGUGAAAUUCGUAGAUAUUCGGAGGAACACCAGUGGCGAAGGCGGCUCACUGGUCCGGUACUGACGCUGAGGUGCGAAAGCGUGGGGAGCAAACAGG